rnacentral:rRNA from 1 species
GACGAACGCUGGCGGCGUGCUUAACACAUGCAAGUCGAACGGUGAAGCCCAGCUUGCUGGGUGGAUGAGUGGCGAACGGGUGAGUAACACGUGAGUAACCUGCCCCUAAGUCUGGGAUACCAUUUGGAAACAGGUGCUAAUACCGGAUAAUAAAGCAGAUCGCAUGAUCAGCUUUUGAGAGGCGGCGUAAGCUGUCGCUAAGGGAUGGCCCCGCGGUGCAUUAGCUAGUUGGUAAGGUAACGGCUUACCAAGGCGACGAUGCAUAGCCGAGUUGAGAGACUGAUCGGCCACAUUGGGACUGAGACACGGCCCAA